rnacentral:rRNA from 1 species
GACGAACGCUGGCGGCGUGCCUAAUACAUGCAAGUAGGACGCAGUUGCGAACGGGUGAGUAACGCGUAGGUAACUACCUAUUAGAGGGGGAUAACUAUUGGAAACGAUAGCUAAUACCGCAUACUAGUAGAUGGACCUGCGGUGUAUUAGCUAGUAGGUAGGGUAAUGGCCUACCUAGGCAACGAUACAUAGCCGACCUGUGUGGGUGGUCGGCCAAACGGGGAGUGUGACACGGCCCCGACUCCUACGGGAGGAAGCAGUAGGGAAUCUUCGGCAAUGGGGGGAACCCUGACCGGGCAACGCCGCGUGAGUGAAGAAGGUUUUCGGAUCGUAAAGCUCUGGUGUUAAGGAAGCGGUACUUAACCAGAAAGGGACGGCUAACUACGUGCCAGCAGCCGCGGUAAUUC